rnacentral:rRNA from 2 species
AAAGUGCGGCUGCCUAUACUGCAAGUCGAACGAGCUUCCGUUGAAUGACGUGCUUGCACUGAUUUUAACAAUGAAGCGAGUGGCGAACUGGUGAGUAACACGUGGGAAAUCUGCCCAGAAGCAGGGGAUAACACUUGGAAACAGGUGCUAAUACCGUAUAACAACAAAAUCCGCAUGGAUUUUGUUUGAAAGGUGGCUUCGGCUAUCACUUCUGGAUGAUCCCGCGGCGUAUUAGUUAGUUGGUGAGGUAAAGGCCCACCAAGACGAUGAUACGUAGCCGACCUGAGAGGGUAAUCGGCCACAUUGGGACUGAGACACGGCCCAAACUCCUACGGGAGGCAGCAGUAGGGAAUCUUCCACAAUGGACGAAAGUCUGAUGGAGCAAUGCCGCGUGAGUGAAGAAGGGUUUCGGCUCGUAAAACUCUGUUGUUAAAGAAGAACACCUUUGAGAGUAACUGUUCAAGGGUUGACGGUAUUUAACCAGAAAGCCACGGCUAACUACGUGCCAGCAGCCGCGGUAAUACGUAGGUGGCAAGCGUUGUCCGGAUUUAUUGGGCGUAAAGCGAGCGCAGGCGGUUUUUUAAGUCUGAUGUGAAAGCCUUCGGCUUAACCGGAGAAGUGCAUCGGAAACUGGGAGACUUGAGUGCAGAAGAGGACAGUGGAACUCCAUGUGUAGCGGUGGAAUGCGUAGAUAUAUGGAAGAACACCAGUGGCGAAGGCGGCUGUCUAGUCUGUAACUGACGCUGAGGCUCGAAAGCAUGGGUAGCGAACAGGAUUAGAUACCCUGGUAGUCCAUGCCGUAAACGAUGAGUGCUAAGUGUUGGGAGGGUUUCCGCCCUUCAGUGCUGCAGCUAACGCAUUAAGCACUCCGCCUGGGGAGUACGACCGCAAGGUUGAAACUCAAAGGAAUUGACGGGGGCCCGCACAAGCGGUGGAGCAUGGUGGUUUAAUUCGAAGCUACGCGAAGAACCUUACCAGGUCUUGACAUCUUCUGCCAUCUUAGAAAUAAGACGUUCCCUUCCGGGACAAAAAGACAAGUGGGGGCAAGGGUGUCCUCACCUCCGGCCUGGAAAGAUUUGGUGUUAAUUCCCCCCACCAAGCGCACCCUCUAUUAUUAAUUGCCACCAUUCAUUUGGGCCUCCUGGUGAGA